UACGAGGGGUCCAAGCGUUGUUCGGAAUCACUGGGCGUAAAGCGGGUGUAGGUGGCUCUAUAAGUCACAUGUGAAAGCCCCGGGCUCAACCCGGGAAGUGCAUGUGAUACUGCAGAGCUUGAGUAAGGGAGAGGAUGGCAGAAUUCCUGGUGUAGUGGUGAAAUACGUAGAUAUCAGGAGGAACUCCGGUGGCGAAGGCGGCCUCUGGCCCAUUACUGACACUCAGACCCGAAAGCGUGGGUAGCAAACAGG
rnacentral:rRNA from 1 species